GUAGCAGAUUUCUUCGUCUCCGGUGACAUCACUGCAGCUGCUCCUCCACUUCCUGGUUCACCGGAUCUCUGUGACACGCUGCCUUUUUGUUCAGCGUGUAUGCAGACUGACUUUUCUGCUUGCUCCACUGAUUCCUUGACAAACUGAGACAUCACCUCUCCUGAAGCAGGAUAUUUGUCUCAAUAUCCUUUUAACUCUCAGAGUUGCUCCCCUUCCUAUCUAUUCCCUCUCUCUCUCACUAUGCCUUCCCCAAGUGGAUCAUGGACGCACCCAGUGAACCAACGAACAAAGGUUCAUUCCCAGGGAUCAAUAUUGUUAACUGCAACUGGUAAGAGUCCUCAGGAGUGCAGAAGGAAAGGAUAUGAACACAUUUUUGUGUAAUAUGCUGCAACGAUUGAUGGACAAUGAUGUGGCUGAAGUGUACAAUUUCUGCGGAACCUAUACAAAAAGUGCUGAUAGAAGGGCCUUUACUGACACUGCAGUUUUGAUUUUUUCUUUGAGUUCCUGAAUAAAUGUUUCAUUUUCCUCACCUGAACUAUGUAAA